GAUGAAGAACGCAGCGAAAUGCGAUAAGUAAUGUGAAUUGCAGAAUUCAGUGAAUCAUCGAAUCUUUGAACGCACCUUGCGCUCUUUGGUAUUCCGAAGAGCAUGCCUGUUUGAGUGUCAUGAAAAUAUCAACCUUGACUUGGGUUUUGUGCUCUAGUCUCGGCUUGGAAUUGGGUGCUUGCCGCUUUUACGAGCGGCUCACCUUAAAUGUAUUAGCUGGAUCUGUCUUUGAGACUUGGUUUGACUUGGCGUAAUAAGUAUUUCGCUAAGGACAUUCUUCGGAGUGGCCUCGUUUCUAGGACGCUUGUCCGCUUUCCAAUACAAGUUCCACCUCGUGGACAUGACUUUUUAUUAUCUGGCCUCAAAUCAGGUAGGACUGCCCGCUGAACGUAAGCAUAUCAAUAAGCGGAGGA
rnacentral:misc_RNA from 1 species